rnacentral:lncRNA from 1 species
UUCCCAGGCUAGGGGGUUGAAUUGGAGCUACAGCUGCCGGCCUAUGCCACAGCCACAGCAAUGCCAGACUGCUGAUCCGAGCUACCUCUUCGACCUACACUCACAGCAAUGCCGGAUCCUUAACCCACUUAGCAGGGCCAGGGAUGAAAUCUGCAUCCUCAUCAAUACUAGUCAGGUUUGUUAUCCCUGAGCCAUGACAGGAACUCUAUUCUUUUUAAAAAAAAAUUUCAUUAAAGUAUAGUUGAUUUACAAUAUUGUGCCAAUUUCUGCUGUACAGCAUAGUGACCCAGUCAUAUAUAUAUAUAUAUAUGUACAUUCUUUGUCUCAUACUAUCUUCCAUCGUGUUCUAUCCUGAGACAGUGGAUAGAGUUCCCUGUGCUGUACAGUAGGACCUCAUUGCUUAUCCAUUCUAAAUGUAACGGUUUGCAUCUACCAACCCAAAUUUCCCAUCCAUCCCUCUGCUCCCUUGGCAACCAUAAGUCUGUUCUUUGUGUGAGUCUGUUUCUAUUUUGUAGAUGGGUUCAUUUGUGCCACAUUUUAUUUUAUUUUAUUUUGUUUUUGUGUGUGUUUUUAGGGCUACACCUGUAGCACACAGAGGUUCCCAGGCUAGGGGUUGAAUCAGAGCUGCAGCCGCCGGCCUACGCCACAGCCACAGUAACUCAGGAUCCGAGCCAUGUCUGCGACCUACACCACAGCUCACGGCAACGCCAGAUCCUUAACCCACUGAGCAAGGCAGGGGAUUGAACCUGCAACCUCAUGGUUACUACUCGGGUUCGUUAACCACUGAGCCACGAUGGGAACUCCUGUCUUGGUCACCAGCCUUUAUGCCUUUGCUUGCAUUAACACAUCUCUAGUGACACCACAGUCUUUGACCACUUUAAUCAUCAAAUUCAGCUUAAAAACAGAGUGAGUUAUUUCCCUCCUGCUCCCCACCUCAAUGCUGUUAAAUUAACCAUUUAUCCUUCCUGCUAUUUUCCAUGCUGUCUUCUUUCCUCCUUUUGUUCUAAGUGGGACUUACUAUGCAAACUGUCUUAACACUCCCUUUUUUUACCUAACAUGUCUACAUUUCUACACACGGAUUUGAAUCAGUUUUUAAAAUAGCAGCAGGAGCUCCCUGAUGGCUCAGUUGAUUAAGGAUCUGGCAUUGUCAUUGCUGUGACAAGGGUUUGAUGCCUUGCCUGGGAACUUCCGCACAACCUGGCCAAAAAAAAUUAAAACGGCAGCAAAAUAACAGCCUUUGUACCAAACUAGCGGAUGUGGCCACCAGGUGGCAUUAGCGCACAAGCAGUGUCAUUGGGAGGGCCCACACAGACGUGCAGGGGUGGAAAGGCAGCCCUGACACCUCCACCUUCCAAAGGCAGGGAGAGAGAGAGUCUGGGGGGGAGACCCGGGGGCAGAGAAUGAUGAAGAGCUGCGGUGGCUUAGGGGCUUUUACAGUGCAGGGUCGGUCUUCCCCGUGGCUAGCAGGUUUUGGGUGAGGUUUCCCUGGGCAGGAAAGCAGGGGGACUCAGCUGGCUAAACAUCUGAUCUUUGGAGCUGAAUUUCAAACAACUGGAUUUGGGAGCCAAUCAGGUUUUUGAGUUAUUGGGUCCUGCCUGCUGUGAGGAAGAAAAGAAGAUGCAAUUUUGUAGGGGCCACCUUUAGUUCAUCUGUGUAACAACUAGCUCCCUAUUGAAACACAUUUUAUUAGUUUCUCCCCAGCAAAAAAUUGUCACAGACAGGUCAGAAGAAAAAUGACUAACCAAUUUACAUCCUAUAUGACAAAAGGCUACUUUUAUUAAUGUAAUCAGGAUUCUUGGCAAGUAGGAUAAAAUGGUAAAGUAGCUCAAGGUCAUCCAAUCAACCCUGAGAAGUGACAGACACUGGAAGGAACUGGCUGUUAUAAGUGAGAUGACAACUGUGCCCUGGGGGGAAAGAUGGGAGCUGGUGAGGGACAUGGGAGGCCGUGGCCUGGGAGGGUCUGGAGAAGCUGUAACUCAGCUCUUGCCUCCCUUACCUCACUUAGGAAUGGGGAGACCCCUGGCCUCCCAGGAGUGUGAGGCACUGGCAAAGGAGACAGAAGCCAGCUAAGUAAGGAAACGAUGAAGACAGGUGCAGGGUGACAGGUGCCUCCUGAUCCCCUGUCAGCACAGGUCCUCUGGGCCCUGAUGCCUCUCCUUGAGGUUUGACCCUCCUUGUUCUCCAACUGUCCAAAGAGGACACAGUUGAGGAUGUGACUUUCAGAACUUCCUCAGUACACAGUGCAGGGCAAGAGAACUGACUCCCCAGUGAAAUGUGAUCCUGAGGUUCCAGGAAAAUACUCCUCAAAGAGAAAGUUAAAAUGAAUUAAAGCAGGAGUGUGGUGCAGUGGACUAAUGACCUGGUGUUGCCACAGCUGUGGCUCACAUUCAAUCCUUGGCCUGAGAACUGCCAUAUGCCACUGAUGCAACUGAAAAAGAUAAAAUAAAAUAGAAUAGAAUAAAAUAAAUAAAUGUGAACAGCACAUGCCACCCUAAGUAGAUUUAUUGAAAUGGAUGAGCCAAUAUAUUUUAAAUGAGUAUAACAUGUAUUCAAAAGAGUUGAAGAAGAAAAAGGUAACAAAAUGACAAGAAAUUAUUUUAGAAAACAAGUGAUACAUGAUAUGCUAAAAGGUUGGGAGAAUAGAAUUAUCAAAAUCCAGAUAAGAGAAAUCCCCAUGGGGAACUGAGGGGCCAUAGGGUACCAGGACACUUAAGAAAAUACUAAUACUUAGACACACUACAGUAAAACUGCAGAAAAGCAAAGAAAAACUAUGAAAAGAUUCCACACAAAAAAGUAAACCAUCCCAAAGGAACAAAAAUUAGACCAACAUGAGACUCCUCAACAGUAAUACUGGAUUCAAGAACAAUGGUGUAAUAAAUUUGUGCUUAAAAAUUUUUUUGCAUACUUCUUGCUAAGAAGUAUAGCCUACAAGCACAAAGGUGGAUAAAUCACAAUGUCACGCACUAAGAAAAAUUACAGAAUUUUUAAAGAAAUUACAGAAAUUAAGUAACCACCAGCCAGGUUAAGAAUACUGCUGGCCCUGAAGAAUCAUGCGUGUCUGACACAGUUCCUACUGUCAGAAAAGGCUUCCCCGCCCCUCCGGCGGGUUUUCCAGACUUUGGUGCAGCUAGAAACCCACCUUCGACUGAGCGCUCAGGCCUCGCCACAUCCUAGCUGCGGCCGAGCGACCCAGGGGCUGCGGCCUCACCCGGUCUCCGCUGCCUCGCCCCGGCGCA